GGGGGAUAUUGGACAAUGGGGGAAACCCUGAUGCAGCGACGCCGCGUGAGUGAAGAAGUAUUUCGGUAUGUAAAGCUCUAUCAGCAGGGAAGAAAAUGACGGUACCUGACCAAGAAGCCCCGGCUAACUAC
rnacentral:rRNA from 1 species